GGUGAUAAUGGCGUAGAGGAUCCACCUGUUCCCAUACCGAACACAGAAGUUAAGCUCUAUUGCGCCGAAAGUACUUAGGGAGUACCCCUUGGGAGGAUAGGACGUUGCCGGAU
rnacentral:rRNA from 1 species